rnacentral:rRNA from 1 species
CCUACGGUGUGCAGCAGUGGGGAAUAUUGCACAAUGGGGGAAACCCUGAUGCAGCGACGCCGCGUGAGUGAAGAAGUAUCUCGGUACGUAAAGCUCUAUCAGCAGGGAAGAAAAUGACGGUACCUGACUAAGAAGCCCCGGCUAACUACGUGGCAGCAGCCGCGGUAAUACGUAGGGGGCAAGCGUUAUCCGGAUUUACUGGGUGUAAAGGGAGCGUUGACGGCAGCACAAGUCUGGAGUGAAAUCCCAGGGCUUAACCCCGGAACUGCUUUUGAAACUGGGCGGCGGGAGUGCAGGAGGGGUAAGCGGAAUUCCUAGUGUAGAGGUGAAAUGCGUAGAUAUUAGGAGGAACACCGGUGGCGAAGGCGGCUUACUGGACUGUAACUGACGUUGAGGCUCGAAAGCGUGGGGAGCAAACAGGAUUAGAUACCCUAGUAGUC